AUUGAACGCUGGCGGGAGGCCUUACACAUGCAAGUCGAGCGAGCGGCGGACGGGUGAGUAAUAUAUCGGAAUGUGCCCGAUAGAGGGGGAUAACUACUGGAAAGGGUGGCUAAUACCGCAUACUAUUGGAUCGGCCCAAAUGGGAUUAGCUAGUUGGGUGGGGAAAGGCUCACCUAGGCAACGAUCUGUAGCUGGUCUGAGAGGAUGAACAGCAACACUGGGACUGAGACACGGCCCAGACUCCUGCGGGAGGCAGCAGUGUGGAAUAUUGCACAAUGGGCGCAAGCCUGAUGCAGCCAUGCCGCGUGUAUGAUGAAGGCCUUCGGGUUGUAAAGUACUUUCAGCGGAGAGGCGUUACCUGCAGAAGAAGCACCGGCUAACUACGUGCCAGCAGCCGCGGUAAUAC
rnacentral:rRNA from 1 species